AGGGUCUUAUCUUAAGUUAAAGUUUUUGAGUUGCAUUCAAAAUAUGUAGGUUAAUGUCCUGCAGACUCUA
rnacentral:tRNA from 1 species